GAUGAACGCUGGCGGCGUGCCUAAUACAUGCAAGUCGAGCGAACGGACGAGAAGCUUGCUUUUCUGAUGUUAGCGGCGGACGGGUGAGUAACACGUGGAUAACCUACCUAUAAGACUGGGAUAACUUCGGGAAACCGGAGCUAAUACCGGAUAAUAUUUUGAACCGCAUGGUUCAAAAGUGAAAGACGGUCUUGCUGUCACUUAUAGAUGGAUCCGCGCUGCAUUAGCUAGUUGGUAAGGUAACGGCUUACCAAGGCAACGAUGCAUAGCCGACCUGAGAGGAUGAUCGGCCACACUGGAACUGAGACACGGUCCAGACUCCUACGGGAGGCAGCAGUAGGGAAUCUUCCGCAAUGGGCGAAAGCCUGACGGAGCAACGCCGCGUGAGUGAUGAAGGUCUUCGGAUCGUAAAACUCUGUUAUUAGGGAAGAAAAUAUGUGUAAGUAACUGUGCACAUCUUGACGGUACCUAAUCAGAAAGCCACGGCUAACUACGUG
rnacentral:rRNA from 1 species